rnacentral:rRNA from 1 species
AGAGUUUGAUCAUGGCUCAGGAUGAACGCUAGCUACAGGCUUAACACAUGCAAGUCGAGGGGCAGCAUUCUGAUAGCUUGCUAUCAGUGAUGGCGACCGGCGCACGGGUGAGUAACGCGUAUCCAACCUGCCUGUCACUCAGGAAUAGCCCGGUGAAAACCGGAUUAAGUCCUGAUGAUAUCAUUAGAGGGCAUCUGACGAUGAUUAAAGGUUACGGUGACAGAUGGGGAUGCGUCUGAUUAGCUUGUUGGCGGGGUAACGGCCCACCAAGGCAACGAUCAGUAGGGGUUCUGAGAGGAAGGUCCCCCACAUUGGAACUGAGACACGGUCCAAACUCCUACGGGAGGCAGCAGUGAGGAAUAUUGGUCAAUGGACGGAAGUCUGAACCAGCCAAGUAGCGUGCAGGAAGACGGCCCUAUGGGUUGUAAACUGCUUUUAUGUGGGAAUAAAGUCAGGGACGUGUCCCUGUUUGCAUGUACCACAGGAAUAAGGACCGGCUAAUUCCGUGCCAGCAGCCGCGGUAAUACGGAAGGUCCGGGCGUUAUCCGGAUUUAUUGGGUUUAAAGGGAGCGUAGGCCGGAGGGUAAGCGUGUUGUGAAAUGCAGUUGCUCAACAUCUGCGCUGCAGCGCGAACUGUUCUCCUUGAGUGCGCAGGAAGUAGGCGGAAUUCGUCGUGUAGCGGUGAAAUGCUUAGAUAUGACGAAGAACUCCGAUUGGGAAGCCAGCUUACUGUAGCGCCACUGACGCUGAUGCUCGAAAGUGCGGGUAUCGAACAGGAUUAGAUACCCUGGUAGUCCGCACGGUAAACGAUGGAUGCUCGCUGUGUGCAUUCGUGUACGCGGCCAAGGGAAACCAUUAAGCAUCCCACCUGGGGAGUA